rnacentral:rRNA from 1 species
UGGGGAAUAUUGCGCAAUGGGCGAAAGCCGGACGCAGCGACGCCGCGUGAGGGAUGAAGGUUUUCGGAUCGUAAACCUCUGUCAGAAGGGAAGAAACCGCACUGUGCUAAUCAGCAGUGCCUUGACGGUACCUUCAAAGGAAGCACCGGCUAACUCCGUGCCAGCAGCCGCGGUAAUACGGAGGGUGCAAGCGUUAAUCGGAAUUACUGGGCGUAAAGCGCACGUAGGCUGCUUUGUAAGUCAGGGGUGAAAUCCCACGGCUCAACCGUGGAACUGCCUUUGAUACUGCUUAGCUUGAAUCCGGGAGAGGGUGGCGGAAAUCCAGGUGUAGGAGUGAAAUCCGUAGAUAUCUGGAGGAACAUCAGUGGCGAAGGCGGCCACCUGGACCGGUAUUGACGCUGAGGUGCGAAAGCGUGGGGAGCAAACAGG